rnacentral:rRNA from 1 species
AGUGAACGCUGGCGGUAGGCCUAACACAUGCAAGUCGAACGGCAGCACAGUAAGAGCUUGCUCUUACGGGUGGCGAGUGGCGGACGGGUGAGGAAUACAUCGGAAUCUACUUUUUCGUGGGGGAUAACGUAGGGAAACUUACGCUAAUACCGCAUACGACCUACGGGUGAAAGCAGGGGGUCUUCGGACCUUGCGCGAUUGAAUGAGCCGAUGUCGGAUUAGCUAGUUGGCGGGGUAAAGGCCCACCAAGGCGACGAUCCGUAGCUGGUCUGAGAGGAUGAUCAGCCACACUGGAACUGAGACACGGUCCAGACUCCUACGGGAGGCAGCAGAGGGGAAUAUUGGACAAUGGGCGCAAGCCUGAUCCAGCCAUACCGCGUGGGUGAAGAAGGCCUUCGGGUUGUAAAGCCCUUUUGUUGGGAAAGAAAAGCAGCAGGUUAAUACCCCGCUGUUCUGACGGUACCCAAAGAAUAAGCACCGGCUAACUUCGUG